UACUCAGCUUUUCCGGCAGUUUCAUUUUGCUCCUUAAUAAAGCCGGCUUUUGCUUCAGUCUCCUUAUCUGCUGUACUGUACUUGAAUCCUGCUUUGCGGUCUCUUCCUCUUCUGACCGCUACAAGUGGCGCUGCGAGCAGGGUACUGUCAGAGAGAUGGA